rnacentral:rRNA from 1 species
AAAAAAGGUAAGCUACUAAGAGCGAAUGGUGGAUGCCUUGACUGGUAAAGGCGAUGAAGGACGUACUAGACUGCGAUAAGCUACGGGGAGCUGUCAAGAAGCUUUGAUCCGUAGAUUUCCGAAUGGGGCAACCCAAUGUAUAGAGAUAUACAUUACCUAUAUAGGAGCGAACGAGGGGAAUUGAAACAUCUUAGUACCCUCAGGAAAAGAAAUCAAUAGAGAUUGCGUCAGUAGCGGCGAGCGAAAGCGCAAGAGGGCAAACCCAGUGCUUGCACUGGGGGUUGUAGGACUGCAAUGUGCAAGAGGUAAGUUUAGCAGAACAUUCUGGAAAGUAUAACCAUAGAGGGUGAUAGUCCCGUAUGCGAAAAACAAACCUUAGCUAGCAGUAUCCUGAGUAGGGCGGGACACGAGGAAUCCUGUCUGAAUCCGGGUCGACCACGAUCCAACCCUAAAUACUAAUACCAGAUCGAUAGUGCACAAGUACCGUGAGGGAAAGGUGAAAAGAACUGAGGUGAUCAGAGUGAAAUAGAACCUGAAACCAUUUGCUUACAAUCAUUCAGAGCCCUAUGUAGGAAUACAGGGUGAUGGACUGCCUUUUGCAUAAUGAGCCUGCGAGUUGUGGUGUCUGGCAAGGUUAAGCAAACGCGAAGCCGUAGCGAAAGCGAGUCUGAAUAGGGCGCUUAGUCAGAUGCUGCAGACCCGAAACGAAGUGAUCUAUCCAUGAGCAAGUUGAAGCUAGUGUAAGAACUAGUGGAGGACUGAACCCAUAGGCGUUGAAAAGCCCCGGGAUGACUUGUGGAUAGGGGUGAAAGGCCAAUCAAACUUCGUGAUAGCUGGUUCUCUCCGAAAUAUAUUUAGGUAUAGCGUUGUGUCGUAAUAUAAGGGGGUAGAGCACUGAAUGGGCUAGGGCAUACACCAAUGUACCAAACCCUAUCAAACUCCGAAUACCUUAUAUGUAAUCACAGCAGUCAGGCGGCGAGUGAUAAAAUCCGUCGUCAAGAGGGAAACAACCCAGACUACCAGCUAAGGUCCCUAAAUCUUACUUAAGUGGAAAACGAUGUGAAGUUACUUAAACAACCAGGAGGUUGGCUUAGAAGCAGCCAUCCUUUAAAGAAAGCGUAAUAGCUCACUGGUCUAGUGAUUUUGCGCGGAAAAUAUAACGGGGCUAAAGU